rnacentral:rRNA from 1 species
ACGGGUGCGUAACACGUGGAAUUUGCCUCGGGGUAUGGAAUAACUCAGGAAAACUUGAGCUAAUACCAUAUAAUGUCUUCGGACCAAAGAUUUAUCGCCCUGAGAUAAGCCCGCGUAGGAUUAGCUAGUUGGUGGGGUAAAGGCUCACCAAGGCGACGAUCCUUAGCUGGUCUGAGAGGAUGAUCAGCCACACUGGGACUGAGACACGGCCCAGACUCCUACGGGAGGCAGCAGUGGGGGAAUAUUGGACAAUGGGCGAAAGCCUGAUCCAGCAAUGCCGCGUGAGUGAUGAAGGCCUUCGGGUUGUAAAGCUCUUUUACUCGGGACGAUAAUGACGGUACCGAGAGAAUAAGCCCCGGCUAACUCCGUG